ACGCUCGACACCUACGGGAGGCAGCAGUGGGGAAUAUUGCACAAUGGGGGAAACCCUGAUGCAGCGACGCCGCGUGGAGGAAGAAGGUCUUCGGAUUGUAAACUCCUGUUGUUGGGGAAAAAGAGGAUGGUAACCCAACAAGGAAGUGACGGCUAACUACGUGCAAGCAGCCGCGGUAAUCUGAGCGGGCUGGCAAGGC
rnacentral:rRNA from 1 species